rnacentral:lncRNA from 1 species
GACAUUUAAUUUAUUUAAAGUUAAUAAUAAAUUUUUAUAAAUGCUAGGCGUAUUUUAUUUUAUUUUUAAACUUUAAUACAUUUUUUUUUUUAAUAAUCUGUCUGUCUAUAAAAUUCAUUUACACUGAAGUAAAUGAAAUUAUUUUAUCUAAUUCACUUAUGUUCAUUUAAUUGCAUUCAAAUUGUUACAAUAGUCUUAUUUUGGACAACAGUCGUUGAAACUUCGAACAUCUGUACACCUGAACUGUCAUGGCGGCACGACCUUCAAUUUGUUUCAACCGCGGCGACCGGUUUAGCACUCUAUGUUAUUCUAGCUCGUUGCUACGAUCUCUCUGAC